rnacentral:rRNA from 1 species
UACAGAGGUGGCAAGCGUUGUUCGGAAUUACUGGGCGUAAAGGCGCGUAGGCGGCCAUCGUAAGUCAGACGUGAAAUCCCCGGCUUAACCUGGGACUGACGUCUGAUACUGGACGGCUUGAGUAUGGGAGAGGGAUGUAGAAUUCCAGGUGUAGCGGUGAAAUGCGUAGAUAUCUGGAGGAAUACCGGUGGCGAAGGCGAGCCCCCUGGGUCCAAGAUUGACG